rnacentral:rRNA from 1 species
UACGUAGGGUGCAAGCGUUAAUCGGAAUUACUGGGCGUAAAGCGUGCGCAGGCGGUUGUGCAAGACAGAUGUGAAAUCCCCGGGCUUAACCUGGGAAUGGCAUUUGUGACUGCACGGCUAGAGUGUGUCAGAGGGGGGUAGAAUUCCACGUGUAGCAGUGAAAUGCGUAGAUAUGUGGAGGAAUACCGAUGGCGAAGGCAGCCCCCUGGGAUAACACUGACUCUCAUGCACGAAAGCGUGGGGAGCAAACAGG